UGCCUAAGGUCACCUAGCUAGUUGCCAGGGAACAGAGGCCUGUCACUGGGUCCCAAGCCCAGGCUCUCUCCACGCAACGCCAAUGCCCCUCCCUCCCAUCCCCAACAUAGGAAGCAAUGUUGGGAUACAUACAUGUUAACAUCCUGAGGAUCAUACAGCUCAAAAAUGUCACCACUUACCAUUUCUGAAGGAGGUUUUUUUUUGGGGGGUGGGGUGAUGUGUUGUUGGUAGAAAGGGAACUAUAUAGCAACAGGGACGUGGAGAGAGCUGUGGAGCUCCGAGCCUGUCUGAACUGUUCAGGAAGGACUUGCACUGACAGAAUGGGAGAACUCAAACCAGCUGAUGAGCAGCUCAGACCAGAUCUAAGUGUUGGGAUCCUGGUGCCACCCCCAUCUUGACAGCUCAGAGCUACAAAGAGAGUAAGAGGUCGGGAAAAAAUAAGGCAAGAAACUCCUACCCAUAUGUGUAGGUUUACCUCCCUGUGACCCUUCCCUCGUGAUCCCUCCCCCUUUGAGGCCAUAUCUCACACGCAUGUCAGCUGUGUUCAAAAACAGCGUAGUAUGGAGCUUAAAAGCGUGCACUGAAAUCUGACUGCCUGGAUUCAAACCUUGGCUCUCCCACUGGCUAGUUGCUGAAUUUUGCUGUGCUUUAUUCAACCUUGGGUAGGAGCCCCUUCUCUAGAAAGAAGUACAGCGGAUGUAUGUGUGUAAAGUUUCUAUGUGAAUCUGCUGGAUUUCAAAGUAAGUUGUGGAUAUUAUGACACUUCAACCCUAAAGAUUUCUGCAUGCAUCUCCUACAAAUAUGGACAUUCUCCUGUAUGACCACAAUGCCGUUAUUAUGCCUAAGAACCAAAGCCAGUUGAUUACAUCUCCCCAGUAUGUCUCCAAUUUAGCCGCUUUUCUUCAGGCCACAAGUUUCCUGUAUCUUCAAGAGUGCAAUCAUCUCCUAACGGUUCCUCCUUCAAUCCACGCUCCACGCUGCUGCAAAGAGAACUUUCGACAGUGGAGAUCUGAUUAUGUCACUUCCCUACUUCAGACUUUCCAAUGGUUUUGCAUUACCUUCAAAAUAAAGAAUAAACUUCACACGGCAGACAGAGCCUUCAUCAUCCAGAUUCAUCUAGAGCAGCAUUGCCCAGUAGAAAUACAUGAGCAAUAUAUGUAGCUCUAAAUUUAUAAUAGCCACAUUUAAAAAAAUUUUUUUAAAUUACAGGUGAAGUUAGUUUAAAAAAUACAUUUUAUUUAACCCAAUAUAUUAAAAAUAUCAUAGCAACACAAACCCAGUAUAAAAAUUAUUAAUGAGGUGUCUUAUAUUCCUUUUUUCUAAGUUCUCAAAAUCUGGUGUGUAUUUAACACAUACAGCACAUCUUAAUUCAGAUGCUAAAUUUUCAAAGGUUAAAGUGAAAUGUGUUCCCACCAAAGCAAUAAUGUUAUAUCUCCCCCCCAAAAAAUAAGAAGUUUAUACUGCUCCAGUUUUAAAAUUUGAAUUAAUUAAAAUUAAAUAAAAUUAAGAGUUCUGUUCCUCAUUCACAUUAGCCACAUCUUAAGUGCUCAGUAGCUGCAUGUGGCAAGAGCAAUUCUAGCACAGCAGUUCUCAAAGUGUGACCCGGGGUAUCCCCAAAACAUUUCCAGGGGUCUCUAAGGUCAAAACUAUCUUCAAAAUAAUCUUAAAAUGUUAUUUACCUUUUUCAUUUUCAUUCUCUCAUAAGUCAGUGGAAUGUUCUAGAGCCUACAUGGCAUGCACUAUGACAACAGAUGGAACACAGAAACAUGGAAGAGAAUCAGCAGUCUCCCAUUAAGCCAGAUAUUGAACAGAUUUGCC
ensembl:lncRNA